rnacentral:rRNA from 1 species
AACUCCUCGAAUCAGGUAGGGAUACCCGCUGAACUUAAGCAUAUCAAUAAGCGGAGGAAAAGAAACCAACAGGGAUUGCCCCAGUAACGGCGAGUGAAGCGGCAGGAGCUCAAAUUUGAAAUCUGGGGUCCUCGACCUCCGAGUUGUAAUUUGGAGAGGCAUCUUCGGGGGGGAGCGCCGGCCCAUGUUCCUUGGAACAGGACGUCGCAGAGGGUGAGAAUCCCGUGCAGGCCGGCUCCCUCCUUCCGCGUGAAGGGCCUUCUACGAGUCGAGUUGUUUGGGAAUGCAGCUCCAAGUGGGUGGUAAAUUUCAUCUAAAGCUAAAUACCGGCGGGUUGACCGAUAGCGCACAAGUAGAGUGAUCGAAAGAUGAAAAGCACUCUGAAAAUAGAGUCAAAAAGUUCGUGAAAUUGUUGAAAGGCAAGCGCUUGAGAUCAG